rnacentral:rRNA from 1 species
UUUCCAGAGAUGGACUGGUGCCUUCGGGAACUGUGAGACAGGUGCUGCAUGGCUGUCGUCAGCUCGUGUUGUGAAAUGUUGGGUUAAGUCCCGCAACGAGCGCAACCCUUAUCCUUUGUUGCCAGCGGUUAGGCCGGGAACUCAAAGGAGACUGCCAGUGAUAAACUGGAGGAAGGUGGGGAUGACGUCAAGUCAUCAUGGCCCUUACGACCAGGGCUACACACGUGCUACAAUGGCGCAUACAAAGAGAAGCGACCUCGC